UACGGAGGGGGCUAGCGUUGUUCGGAAUUACUGGGCGUAAAGCGCGCGUAGGCGGCUUUGUAAGUCAGAGGUGAAAGCCUGGAGCUCAACUCCAGAACUGCCUUUGAAACUACAUCGCUAGAAUCAUGGAGAGGUUAGUGGAAUUCCGAGUGUAGCGGUGAAAUGCGUAGAUAUCUGGAGGAACACCGGUGGCGAAGGCGGCGACCUGGGUCGAGACUGACGCUGAGGCGCGAAAGCGUGGGGAGCAAACAGG
rnacentral:rRNA from 1 species